GAGAACCUCCGGGGGCAAGAGGUUCGACCCGAGCGAAGCGAGAGAACGUUGCGUCAGCAACGGCCCGCAGGGCGAGCCACGCAGUGGCGAGUCAUCCUCUAUCACCGACCA
rnacentral:sRNA from 3 species